UACGGAGGGUGCAAGCGUUGCUCGGAAUUAUUGGGCGUAAAGGGUAGGUAGGUGGUCUCAUUUGUCUGGGGUGAAAGCCUUGAGCUUAACUCAAGAAGUGCCUCGGAAACGGUGAGACUGGAGUCCUGGAGAGGGUCGUGGAAUUCCCGGUGUAGCGGUGAAAUGCGUAGAGAUCGGGAGGAACACCAGAGGCGAAGGCGGCGACCUGGACAGGCACUGACACUCAACUACGAAAGCGUGGGGAGCAAACAGG
rnacentral:rRNA from 1 species